UGUGGAAUAUUGCACAAUGGGGGAAACCCUGAUGCAGCGACGCCGCGUGAACGAAGAAGGUAUUCGUAUCGUAAAGUUCUGUCCUAUGGGAAGAUAAUGACAGUACCAUAGAAGAAAGCUCCGGCUAAAUACGUGCCAGCAGCCGCGGUAAUACGUAUGGAGCGAGCGUUGUCCGGAAUUAUUGGGCGUAAAGGGUACGCAGGCGGUUUAAUAAGUCGAAUGUUAAAGAUCGGGGCUCAACCCCGUAAAGCAUUGGAAACUGAUAAACUUGAGUAGUGGAGAGGAAAGUGGAAUUCCUAGUGUAGUGGUGAAAUACGUAGAUAUUAGGAGGAAUACCAGUAGCGAAGGCGACUUUCUGGACACAAACUGACGCUGAGGUACGAAAGCGUGGGGAGCAAACAGG
rnacentral:rRNA from 1 species